GAAGAGUUAGUUAAUUAUAACAUUAGAUUGUCAAACUAAAAUUAUCAAAUAUUGAUACUCUUCA
rnacentral:tRNA from 1 species